rnacentral:lncRNA from 1 species
ACCAACGAGUCAGAGGCAAGAUAACUGAAAGCCUCUGUCCCCACUGUCUUCCGAGAGCUGUGGUUUGACCAGGCAGCCCCCUAUGCCUCUUCCAGACUCAGGCUUCUCUCUGCUUCUGCAGUUUCUCCAGGACUCUUCAUGUUCUCCCUCAUUGACAAAGGGCAGUGGAUUUCUGGAAAUCUAUUUUCAGUAGACUUCAGUAACUCAAUUUUACCUAUCCACACUGUGUGGUAUAGUAUCAUCAUGUAAAAAUCAGAAGCAUCAAAAAUCAGACAAACCUAGACUCACUCCUCAAUUCUUUUACCAGGUGAAUGAAAAAGUGAUUAUUUUAUAAAAGGAAUGCUAGUUAGCAUUCCUGGGAGAAGUGAGUCUCUAUGGCUUGCCCUUUUGAAACUGGUUUCCAAACAAAAUGCAUACUCAUGAAUAUUUAUUGAUCAUAAAAGUUUGGCAGAUUAGAGCAGAAGAAGGGUAGCAUGAGGAGUACCAACUCUUAAACCUGAGGACUCAUGUCUGCACUACACCUUAUACAACAGUGUCUGUGAAAUGGUUAAAGAGUAAAAACCCAAUCUGUUGCAGCCAGAAAGGAGUACUCCACCUAUUACACAGCAAGGCCAAUAGAUUGCUUGUUAUUUUAAGUGUUAUUUAAAUUAUCUCCCUAGGGAAGAUAAUUUUCAGCUGCCUCUCCAUCUUCUUAAAGAAGAGCAGAAUUUAACACAUCUCGUCUUUGUGAAAAACAAAGACACUGAAGCAAUGGUCAGAAAGAAAAGGAAUAAAGACAAAGUCAAGGAAAGAGCCAUACAAGGACAGUUAGCAUAAGAUAGUUGUUCUCAAUGUAGGCUAUCCAGAACAGCACUGUCAACCUCACCGCGGAACUUGAAAGAAGUGCAAAUCCUUGAGACUGACUCCAAGUCUACUGAAUCAGAAAUUCUGGGGGUGAAGUCCAUCAAUCUUUGGUUGAACAAAACACAACCAAUCUCACAUUUAUGGAAGUUUCAUAUAUGAAGUCAUAAAAGUCACUAGAAAGGCAAGAAGAACCAGGGAGCUGACAUGUUCCUAGAUCCAGGAGCCACCCAGUGGAUUGACGAUUCUUAUCAUAAUAAGACUUCCUUGAACCAUCCCCCACCCAACCCUUUUCCAGAAAGAGUUGAAGACAAAUCUACAGUGAAUAGGAGGCUGAGGCCACCACACCACAGCUUCCAGUGCAAGUGUCCUUGUGCCCUGGUGCCUGAUAUCCAGCUCCGGCAGCCUAGAAAAUCAGUUAGGCUUUUCAGUCACAGCACCCUCUGUGACAAACGUGUGGAGCACCGCACGACUUCUUCAACCAGCUGGUUUUUCUGGCAUUCGAAUAAAAGUAAAAAUAGAAAACAAAGAGGGAGAAGAAAAGUGACAAGCUGAAACCUGCGAAGAGAAAGAGGACAAGAACCUGUAUGUACCCAGUGGUGUGGAUAAAUCGUUAUGUAUCUGCCUACGCAUUGUCAGAAAUACAGCAGCCUAAGUAGCCAUUCAAGGAAUUUAGAGUAAAGUACCAUGGUCAGAAUUCAAGAUAUAGCCACUACAGGAUCUGAAAUGCCAUCUGUUCCAACCGCACGACAUCCCCAUUCAGCAGGCUCACAAGGCUGGCAUAGACAGGAAGAGGGACCCCUCUGUUGUCCUCUACUCUCUUCUUCAACUGAGCAAUGAGCAGAAGAUUUAAGUUUGGGAUUUUUUCACUAUUUUUCCCAAACGCAUGAACAGGUUCUUCUCAAACUGCAAGAGUCGAUUCAAAAUCCAGACAGCUUUCACCACCCAAGGAUUCAGGGAAGUGUUUAUUUCUUUGUCUCAGAAUCUCUUUAAACAUGGCACCUACAAUGACAAAUUGUAAAUAGCCACGUCCAAUAAGUUUAUGCGUAACCUUACCUGACUUUUCCAUGGAACUCCAUUAUAUAACUAGAAGCAUUUCUCCACAAGCGGAAAAAAAAUGGAACCAGAAGAGAAACAAAGCACAUUUGAGCAUACAAUAAAUAAUGAUAUGAAAUGAACAAGUUGAUCUGGUCUUGAGGGAGGAGGAGGCACAGGAACACAGUAAAGGAACCUAUCUGAGGAGCUGCAGACAUGAACCAACAAAGGUCAAACCCCACCUGGAAAAUGAAUUGUGUCCAAAUGAGACCCCUUUAAUGACAGGAUUUGAAACAAUCUCAUUAUGAAACAAUUGCAGUCAAUGGGAAUCCUGAGUCUUCAAGGAAGUAAAAAGAAAAAAAAAUCUCUGUUAUCCUCACAUAUUUAAAGAUUCUCAUAUAAAAGCUUCUCCGAAGAGAACAGCUUGUCCUGUUUAGCUUCAAAGAAGAGAAUGAGGAGGAAGGUCGAGGGAAAAUUACAGAAAAGCAGACUUUGACUUGACACGUGGAAGGACUUCUCACUAAUGCUAUUCCCAAAUACAAUGAGUUGUUUCCGUGAUUGGAGGACUUGAAGAUGUAUAAGUUAUCCACAGGGAUGUUGCAGAGGAAAUUUGACCAUCAUAUGGGUGAAUUAACUGAUAUCUAUGAUCUUUAUUUCUCCUGAGAGUCCAUAAAAGUGAGAUAAUUGUUUGGAAAUUUGACGUAUACCUCUUGGAAUCUGAGGAGCAUGAAGAUCAGUGUAUGACUCUUGCCUGAAAUCAAGGAGAAAGGAAAACCCUGUCAAUGGCACAAAUUUCCAAAGUUUGGGAUGACAAGGACAUCCAGAAGAGCCUGAAGCAAUACUGCAAGUGGGUGCUUUGGUACUGCUUUGAAGCAUCUUUCCAGACUCUGCAGUAGCCAAGGCCUGUGACUCCAGUCCCUGAGAAAGUACCAUCAGGAGCAAUACGUAAGCUUUUCAGGGACAAAGAACCUUGUCCUCUUAAUCUGGAUUCACAAUUCACAAUUAUACCCCUAGCCUGCCCAACGCCUUUUUCUCAGUCUCUGAGAAGUAUUGACUCUCUUUUACCUAAGAGCAGGAGUCUGAAAACUACAGCCUAUGGGCCAAAUCUCUUCUGUUGUGUCCCACAAGGUAACAGUCGCAGUUACAUUUUUAAUUGGUUAAAAAAAUCAAUCAAAAGAACAACACUAUUUUAUAAGAUGAGAAAGAUAUUUAAAAUUCAAAUAUAAAUGCCGAUGAAUAAAAUUUUAUUGGGACAUAGCGAUGCUCAUUCACUUAUGUAUUAUCUAUGACUGGUUUCACAUGGCAGAGUUGAGCAGCUGUGAAAGAGCCUAUUCUUAGGCAAAGCCUGCAAUAUUUGUUAUCUGAACUUUUACAAAAAAUGUUCUCAAUCCCUGCCCAGGAAGAUUGCCUGAGUCUGUCAUCUUACCCCAGCAGCAUCCAUCCCUUUGUAAAUAAGACUUUUGGUAGAAAUGGAAACAAUUAAAAAUAUUUAUAUGCUUUAAAAUAAUACAUUUAAUAAAAGGUAUCUAAAUCCUUGCAUAUAUGACUGUAAUACUCCAGUGUGAUAUUAAUUGCUGGUUGUUUAAUUCCCUCAUUUUAAAUGACAGCACAGAGUUUAAUCAUGGGCAUAUUCUCAAAAAGCAUUCAGAAAUAAAGUCCUUAUGGGUGUUGCCCCUGACUAUACCACAACUCUGAAAGCCACAUGGUGGAUUUAUUUAACCUCCAAUUUUUGGGAACACUUAGUAGCAUACGUGGGCUAAUAUUUGUUAUGGCUCAAUUUACUUUCUCUCUUUUAUCCUGGGGAAAGGAAUACUUUGCUCCCACACUGUGAGGUUUCUGAGAAAGGGUGAAAAAACUAUAAUCAUUCACUUCUCUUGGGCAAGGUGGGAGUGAAAGAAUAACCAAUAAACAAAUAUAUCAAGUGCUCAUCUGUGCAGAAUGCUGCAUGCUUAAUUUAGUUAAAUAUACACAUACAUAAAAGGCACAGCCAUUAUUCCAUCGGAGCCUGAGCCUGAAAUCAGAAUAUGAAGGUCAAACUGGGGUGUAUUUCUGAUUACAGAAUGAAAUCCUCAGACCAGCUGCUCUGUGUGUCCCACUGGGCUCAGUCUUUCUCUCUAGUCCAUCUUUGCUUCCAUGUGCUACUGGUUCUGGAGUGCUAUAGGGGCCCUCAGAGCAUCAUUCUUGCCUCCAAACCUUUGUUCGCUCUGAACCAUCACCUGAGGUCCAUUAUCUGCUACAUUCCUCUUAAACAAAUUUUAUCCCACACUCAAAUGCUCAGAACAAUUCCUACUUCUUUAAAAAUAUCUCUGCUUGGAGUAUUCCGUAGACUCCUCCUUGAAUUUCAUAUUAGCAUUUCAACCGUUGAGUUUAGUCUUCUUGUAUAUCAAGUUUGCAUUUUCCUUGAAUAUUUUAUUUGUACUAGUCAUAAAUUUUCAAUUAAAUGGGAGCUCUUCAUGUUAAAGGCUGCAUCUUUAUUUCUAGUUAAAAAGUCAUACACACACAAACACAUAGUUAAUUUUCAUUAUUCACAGAUUUCAUAUUUGUG